UACGUAGGGUGCGAGCGUUGUCCGGAAUUACUGGGCGUAAAGAGCUCGUAGGUGGUUUGUCGCGUUGUUCGUGAAAUCUCACGGCUUAACUGUGAGCGUGCGGGCGAUACGGGCAGACUUGAGUACUGCAGGGGAGACUGGAAUUCCUGGUGUAGCGGUGGAAUGCGCAGAUAUCAGGAGGAACACCGGUGGCGAAGGCGGGGUCUCUGGGGCAGUAACUGACGCUGAGGAGCGAAAGCGUGGGGAGCGAACAGG
rnacentral:rRNA from 1 species